AAAAAGGUAAGCUAAAUAAAGCUAAUGGGUUCAUAUCCCAUUAAUGGAGACAUAAACUCCCCUUUUUA
rnacentral:tRNA from 1 species